AAUAGAUACCCGGGUAGUCCACGCCGUAAACGAUGAGUGCUAAGUGUUAGAGGGUUUCCGCCCUUUAGUGCUGCAGCUAACGCAUUAAGCACUCCGCCUGGGGAGUACGGCCGCAAGGCUGAAACUCAAAGGAAUUGACGGGGGCCCGCACAAGCGGUGGAGCAUGUGGUUUAAUUCGAAGCAACGCGAAGAACCUUACCAGGUCUUGACAUCCUCUGCCAACCCUAGAGAUAGGGCGUUCCCCUUCGGGGGACAGAGUGACAGGUGGUGCAUGGUUGUCGUCAGCUCGUGUCGUGAGAUGUUGGGUUAAGUCCCGCAACGAGCGCAACCCUUGAUCUUAGUUGCCAGCAUUCAGUUGGGCACUCUAAGGUGACUGCCGGUGACAAACCGGAGGAAGGUGGGGAUGACGUCAAAUCAUCAUGCCCCUUAUGACCUGGGCUACACACGUGCUACAAUGGAUGGUACAAAGAGCUGCGAACCCGCGAGGGGAGCUAAUCCGAUAAAACCGUUCUCAGUUCGGAUUGUAGGCUGCAACUCG
rnacentral:rRNA from 1 species